rnacentral:rRNA from 1 species
UACGUAGGGUGCAAGCGUUGUCCGGAAUUAUUGGGCGUAAAGAGCUCGUAGGCGGUUUGUCGCGUCGAAUGUGAAAACCCGGGGCUCAACCCCGGGCCUGCAGUCGAUACGGGCAGGCUAGAAUUCGGUAGGGGAGACUGGAAUUCCUGGUGUAGCGGUGAAAUGCGCAGAUAUCAGGAGGAACACCGGUGGCGAAGGCGGGUCUCUGGGCCGAUAUUGACGCUGAGGAGCGAAAGCGUGGGGAGCGAACAGG